ACAAUGAAGAGUUUGAUCCUGGCUCAGGAUGAACGCUAGCUACAGGCUUAACACAUGCAAGUCGAGGGGCAUCAGAAAGAAAGCUUGCUUUCUUUGCUGGCGACCGGCGCACGGGUGAGUAACACGUAUCCAACCUGCCCUUUACUCGGGGAUAGCCUUUCGAAAGAAAGAUUAAUACCCGAUGGGAUAAUGAUUCCGCAUGGUUUCAUUAUUAAAGGAUUCCGGUAAAGGAUGGGGAUGCGUUCCAUUAGGUUGUUGGUGAGGUAACGGCUCACCAAGCCUUCGAUGGAUAGGGGUUCUGAGAGGAAGGUCC
rnacentral:rRNA from 1 species